GACGAACGCUGGCGGCGUGCUUAACACAUGCAAGUCGAACGGAGAGGCCCUGCUUUUGUGGGGUGCUCGAGUGGCGAACGGGUGAGUAACACGUGAGUAACCUGUCCUUGACUUUGGGAUAACUUCAGGAAACUGGGGCUAAUACCGGAUAGGAGCUCCUGCUGCAUGGUGGGGGUUGGAAAGUUUCGGCGGUUGGGGAUGGACUCGCGGCUUAUCAGCUUGUUGGUGGGGUAGUGGCUUACCAAGGCUUUGACGGGUAGCCGGCCUGGGAGGGUGACCGGCCACAUUGGGACUGAGAUACGGCCCAGACUCCUACGGGAGGCAGCAGUGGGGAAUAUUGCACAAUGGGCGGAAGCCUGAUGCAGCAACGCCGCGUGCGGAAUGACGGCCUUCGGGUUGUAAACCGCUUUCGCCUGUGACGAAGCGUGAGUGGCGGUAAUGGGUAAAGAAGCACCGGCUAACUACGUG
rnacentral:rRNA from 1 species